UCCUCGUUUAGACGAGGCAGUCUGUCCAGAGUGCUUCGAACUCUCGUUCGAGUGGCAACAGGGCACAAGGGUUGCGCUCGUUGCGGGACUUAACCCAACAUCUCACGACACGAGCUGACGACAGCCAUGCAGCACCUGUGCACACUGGUAUUGCUACCUCGUCACCCUUUCAGGCUUCUACUAUGUGCAUGUCAAGGCCAGGUAAGGUUCUUCGCGUUGCAUCGAAUUAAGCCACAUACUCCACCGCUUGUGCAGGCCCCCGUCAAUUUCUUUGAGUUUCAGUCUUGCGACCGUACUCCCCAGGCGGCAUACUUAACGCGUUAGCUCCGGCACGGACAGAAUGAACUGCCCACACCAAGUAUGCAUCGUUUAGGGCGUGGACUAC
rnacentral:misc_RNA from 1 species